rnacentral:misc_RNA from 1 species
GAUGAAGAACGUAGCGAAAUGCGAUAAGUAAUGUGAAUUGCAGAAUUCCGUGAAUCAUCGAAUCUUUGAACGCACAUUGCGCCCGCCAGCACUCUGGCGGGCAUGCCUGUCCGAGCGUCAUUUACCACCCUCGGGCCCCCUUGGGGGCCCGGUGCUGGGGGCACGGCCCAGGCCGCCCCCGAAAUGCAGUGGCGACCCCGCCGCGUCCUCCCCUGCGCAGUAGCACAAUCUCGCACCGGAAGCGCGGAGGCGGUCACGCCUGGAAACGCCCCAACUCAACGCAGUUGACCUCGGAUCAGGUAGGAGUACCCGCUGAACUUAAGCAUAUCAAUAAGCGGAGGA